AAUCAUUCUCAGUGGAAUUGAAAUUCAUAAAUCUUUUUCAGGACUCGUACAUCUGCGCGAAACUUAAGAUUAAAGCACCUAUCCAAUAUGUUUGGAAUUUACGAAUAACAAGCUAGAUCGAAUGAAAGUAUCGUCAUAAAUGUUAAGUGUAUGUAAAUUUCCCAACGUGGGAAACAGAUACAUGCAUAAAUGGAAAUAUGCAAACAUGCUGUUUCUAGACGUAACAUUUCUGCAUAAAAUCCAUGAAGAAGAAAUGUCGGCGAAAUGCGAAUUUUAUAAUCACGCACUGAACGAAUAACUCAUAACGGAGAUGAAAGUGAUGAUAGAAAAGAUGAAUAACUCAGAAAUUACUAUUAUGGUGUAACUAACAUUAAUAAUUCCUCUACUAAAUUUUUUUUUUACAUACAACUUGUGCAAUUAAGGAACAUAUAUAACGAGCUAAACUGACGCCAAUUGACAUUUUUCGCAAAUUUCUUUUCCCUCGAGAACAGAAGUUUGCUUGUGCAACACAUUAUAAAAUAUUCUAAAAAAAA